rnacentral:rRNA from 1 species
UAACCGGCGAUUUCCGAAUGGGGAAACCCAGUGUGAUUCGUCACACUAUCAUUAACUGAAUCCAUAGGUUAAUGAGGCGAACCGGGGGAACUGAAACAUCUAAGUACCCCGAGGAAAAGAAAUCAACCGAGAUUCCCCCAGUAGCGGCGAGCGAACGGGGAGCAGCCCAGAGCCUGAAUCAGUGUGUGUGUUAGUGGAAGCGUCUGGAAAGGCGCGCGAUACAGGGUGACAGCCCCGUACACAAAAAUGCACAUAUUGUGAGCUCGAUGAGUAGGGCGGGACACGUGGUAUCCUGUCUGAAUAUGGGGGGCCCAUCCUCCAAGGCUAAAUACUCCUGACUGACCGAUAGUGAACCAGUACCGUGAGGGAAAGGCGAAAAGAACCCCGGCGAGGGGAGUGAAAAAGAACCUGAAACCGUGUACGUACAAGCAGUGGGAGCACGCUUAGGCGUGUGACUGCGUACCUUUUGUAUAAUGGGUCAGCGACUUAUAUUCUGUAGCAAGGUUAACCGAAUAGGGGAGCCGAAGGGAAACCGAGUCUUAACUGGGCGUUAAGUUGCAGGGUAUAGACCCGAAACCCGGUGAUCUAGCCAUGGGCAGGUUGAAGGUUGGGUAACACUAACUGGAGGACCGAACCGACUAAUGUUGAAAAAUUAGCGGAUGACUUGUGGCUGGGGGUGAAAGGCCAAUCAAACCGGGAGAUAGCUGGUUCUCCCCGAAAGCUAUUUAGGUAGCGCCUCGUGAAUUCAUCUCCGGGGGUAGAGCACUGUUUCGGCAAGGGGGUCAUCCCGACUUACCAACCCGAUGCAAACUGCGAAUACCGGAGAAUGUUAUCACGGGAGACACACGGCGGGUGCUAACGUCCGUCGUGAAGAGGGAAACAACCCAGACCGCCAGCUAAGGUCCCAAAGUCAUGGUUAAGUGGGAAACGAUGUGGGAAGGCCCAGACAGCCAGGAUGUUGGCUUAGAAGCAGCCAUCAUUUAAAGAAAGCGUAAUAGCUCACUGGUCGAGUCGGCCUGCGCGGAAGAUGUAACGGGGCUAAACCAUGCACCGAAGCU